GAUGAACGCUGACAGAAUGCUUAACACAUGCAAGUCAACUUGAACUUCGGUUUGGGUGGCGGCCUGGUGAGUAACGCGUAAAGAACUUUCCUCACAGCUAGGGACAACAUUUGGACACGAAUGCUAAUACCUGAUAUUAUGCUUAUAUGGCAUCGUAUAAUUAUGAAAGCUAUAUGCGCUGUGAGAGAGCUUUGCGUCCAAUUAGCUAGUUGGAGAGGUAACAGCUCACCAAGGCGAUGAUGGGUAGCCGGCCUGGGAGGGUGAUCGGCCACAAGGGGACUGGGGAACGGCCCGUACGGAUACGGGAAGCAGCGGUGGGGGAUAGUGGAAAAUGGACCGAGAGUGUGAUGCAGGAAUUCUGUGUGCAAGAUGAAGUUUUUCGGAAUGAAAAGUGCUUUGAGUUGGGAAGAAAAUAAUGACGGUACCAACAGAAGAAGUGACGGCUAAAUACGUG
rnacentral:rRNA from 1 species